CUACGUUAAAGACUGAUAAUACUAAACAUCCAUAUUUCUUACUAGUUUUAAUAAGCCGAAAUAUAUGACACUACAGCUAACGUUAUCAUGAGCGAACAUCCAGAAUCGAAGUUGGUGCACCUCUUGAACGUGUGUUUGCUGUUGAAGAUAAUUCCUCUGUGGCCUCGGCUUGUAUGGAUGAAGUGCUUUCCAAUAUGCAUUUUAGUAGAGAUACCGUUAUCCCUGAUUCUCCUCGAAAGUUCAAUAAUAUAUAUUUGGAAACCACUUCAAGAGUACUUACUUCUCUACUCUGAUGAUAUCCUAGUAUACAUGUAUGAAGACACGAAAUUUGAGUGGAUAAUCUGCCCCCUUUGCUGCGGUAAAAGUGGCUGUUCAGAAAUAUUUACGAGCCUGUUACUUAAGGUGUUGAGUUUUGUAUUUUUGCUAUCAACUUGUUUUGUU